GAUGAAGAACGUAGCGAAAUGCGAUAAGUAGUGUGAAUUGCAGAAUUCAGUGAAUCAUCGAAUCUUUGAACGCACAUUGCGCCCCUUGGUAUUCCAUGGGGCAUGCCUGUUCGAGCGUCAUUUGUACCUUCAAGCUUUGCUUGGUGUUGGGUGUUUGUCCAUUCUCUUGCAGAGGGACUCGCCUUAUAGUAAUUGGCAGCCAGUGUUUUGGUUUUGAAGCGCAGCACAAGUCGCGAUUCAACGCUAUACGCCAGCUUCCACAAGCCUUUUUCACUUUUGACCUCGGAUCAGGUAGGGAUACCCGCUGAACUUAAGCAUAUCAAUAAGCGGAGGA
rnacentral:misc_RNA from 1 species